rnacentral:rRNA from 1 species
UACGAAGGGGGCUAGCGUUGCUCGGAAUCACUGGGCGUAAAGGGCGCGUAGGCGGCCAGACAAGUCAGGGGUGAAAGCCUGUGGCUCAACCACAGAAUGGCCUUUGAUACUGUUUGGCUCGAGACCGGAAGAGGUUGGUGGAACUGCGAGUGUAGAGGUGAAAUUCGUAGAUAUUGGGAAGAACACCGGUGGCGAAGGCGGCCAUCUGGACCGCAACUGACGCUGAGGCGCGAAAGCGUGGGGAGCAAACAGG